rnacentral:rRNA from 1 species
UACGUAGGGGGCGAGCGUUGUCCGGAGUUACUGGGCGUAAAGCGCACGCAGGCGGUGCGGCACGUUUGGGGUUACAGCUCCCGGCUCAACUGGGAGAGCGCCUCGAAGACGGCGGCGCUUGAGGGCCAGAGAGGGACACGGAACUCCGGGUGGAGUGGUGAAAUGCGUAGAUAUCCGGAAGAACACCAAAGGCGAAGGCAGUGUCCUGGCUGGUUCCUGACGCUCAGGUGCGAAAGCUAGGGGAGCGAACGGG